UACGGAGGAUCCGAGCGUUAUCCGGAUUUAUUGGGUUUAAAGGGAGCGUAGGCGGGUUGUUAAGUCAGUUGUGAAAGUUUGCGGCUCAACCGUAAAAUUGCAGUUGAUACUGGCAUCCUUGAGUACAGUAGAGGUAGGCGGAAUUCGUGGUGUAGCGGUGAAAUGCGUAGAUAUAUGGAGGAACACCGGUGGCGAAAGCGGCUCUCUGGCCUGUAACUGACACUGAGGCUCGAAAGCGUGGGGAGCAAACAGG
rnacentral:rRNA from 1 species